GAGACUUCACAGGAUGAGCUUUAUUUGGCAGUUACAAGCUGUCAGCUCCAGAGCAGCACGCCAGCCAGUGCACAACAUGCAGCUGCAGGAUGCUGCCAGGGCUUUCCUGCUGAUGGUUUAAUGGUACUUGUAGGCCAGAGCAUGGGCCACCACGCCGACCAGCUUCUGCCAAGUGGCCUGGCAGGCAGGGG